AUAUCAGUCAUGCAUAGCAUAUCAAUAAGCGGAGGAAAAGAAACUAACAAGGAUUCCCUUAGUAACGGCGAGUGAAGCGGGAAGAGCUCAAAUUUGAAAUCUUCAAGGUUCUACCUUGACGAAUUGUAGUUUAUAGAAGUGUUUUCUGUUAGUAGAGUGGCAAAAGUCCUUUGGAAUAGGACAUCAUAGAGGGUGAGAAUCCCGUAUUUUGUCAUUCUUUCUAGCUUUGUGAUACACUUUCAACGAGUCGGAUUGUUUGGGAAUGCAGUCCAAAAUGGGUGGUAAAUUUCAUCUAAAGCUAAAUAUUGGCGAGAGACCGAUAGCGAACAAGUACCGUGAGGGAAAGAUGAAAAGAACUUUGAAAAGAGAGUUAAACAGUACGUGAAAUUGUCAAAAGGGAAGCGUUUGACACCAAUGUUGUUUUUUCCGAAAAUCAAUUACGAAUGUUUUAGUUUUUGAGAAGUUAUGACUUCAUCGGCUUGCUUCUCUCUUUAUGAAACUUUCUUAAUGCACUUUUCGGUUAACAAGUCAACAUCAAUUUCUUUUGUUGUAAAAGGGUAUGAGGAAGGUGGCUUUCUUUUCGGAGAAAGUGUUUAUAGCCUUGUACCUCUGCAAUCGGAGAGAUUGAGGUCUGCAGCGUAGAUCCUUCGGGGUUAGAUACAUUUGUGCUAAGUUAUAGCUUUUCAUAGACAACUUGUUGACUAUGUUAAGUCUUGUAGCUUACUCGCUUAUGCUAUUUUACCUACGCUUAGGAUGUUGAUGUGAUACUGCGAGCA
rnacentral:rRNA from 1 species